UUAAGUAAAAUUAAAUUAAGUAAAGUUAAAUUAAUUAAAAUUAAACAUUCACUUCCUCAGUCAUACUGGCCAUAUUUCAAGUGCUCAGUAGCCGUGGAUAACUAGUUAACACCAUGUGGGACAGUAUAGAUAGAGAACAUUUCCAUCAUCACAGAAUGUGCGAUUGAACACUGUUUUAGAUGAAUUCUAUUCAUAUACAAACAUGUAUAUAUAUGCAUAUAUAGGCACAGUUGGCAUAAUAUUGUACAUAAGCUUCUGCAAUUUGUUUUUUCCACUUAACAGAGAAACUGUUAAUUUAGUGUGAUCCACACGUAACGUCAUGCCAGGAAAAUUUUAAAACAGUGCAUAAUCAAACAUAGAGUUUUAGUAAAUUUAAACCUUUUUUAAUUUCAGAUUUUAGAGGUCAUUGCAACAUAUCCUUAAUGCUUGUUCCAGCUUUAACUAAAUAAAUUAUUUUUGGAAAUAGUCCACUCAGCCUUGGGUGUGUAAGGAAAGAAGAUUCAAGAGAUCUAACUUGAGCUUAAUGUACUGUGGUUACCGUACAUAUUCACACACACAUAUAUUUCCUGUUGUUCCUGUUUUUUAACAGGAAUUGUAAUCUUUCUGUUUACUCACUGUUUGGUCGACCAGCAUUGUCCAAAAUGGUGGCCACUAGGCACAUGUGGUGGUUUAAGUUAACAUUAAAUUAAAUUAAAAAUUCAGUUCCUCAGUCAUACUAGCCAAAUUUCAAGUGUUCGUUAGCCGCGUAUGGCUGGUGGAUGUGGAGAGUUGCCAUUUUGCACAAGGUUCUAUUGAACAACACUGCACUAGAAGCUUUCUUCAAAAACAUUUCUCAUUAAAUACAGUGAUUUUUCCACAAGUGAGGGAUGGGAGGCUCUGCCCAGGAGGACAUGCCGGAGUUUCUGGGAGCAGGUGGAGAGCCUGCACUUUUCUGCCCUUCCCACUCAAGAUUUUGAUCCGUCCCUCUGAAGACGCAGGUCCUCCAACUCUGUUGAGGAUUGGUGUUCCAUAUCUGCUGCCUGGAACGUGGAUGCCACCAUCUUGGACCAUGAAGUGGAGGUCACAUGUGUUGGAGCAGCAGAACAAAUGGGAUAUCACACUUGCCUUCCCCGACUUUUUCCUGAGAAGGACAGACGCUUCUCUUGGUUAAGCCGCUGAUACUUUGGGCUUCCUUUCACUCUCAGCCAAACCUGAUUCUAACUAAUGUAGGUCUCUAAUCUGCUAGGCAGAUUCAGUUCUGUCUUGUUUAGAACUCCCAACCGUCCUGUGAGCUAGGUAGGUAUUCCGGUUCUCAUUUAAUGGAUUGGGCGACUGAGGUUAAAUAAAAGUUAAGUACCUUGCCCACACACAGCCAGCCGGAGCCAGCAUUUGAAUCCAUAUUUGAUCUUUCUGACUUCAGAUCGCCAAAAGCUUAAUCCUCGCUUUAGUAAUUAAUACGAAAUGUAAAGGAGGGCAUGUGCCACAUGGUUUUGUAACAUUCACGCUUUGGCAGAGCCCCA
rnacentral:lncRNA from 1 species